CGAGGGUAAUGUUGUUACACUAGAUUAUUUAAAUUAUUAUUAAUUAAUUGUACUAACACAAGGCUUUUAUUUUGAAGUUCGUGUUAGAAGAGAUGGCACGGUGAUGAAUGGUCACGUGACCACUAGAAAAAUAUUAUUUUUAUUUCUUUUUCUACAAACAUAAUUAUUUCUUUAUUGGUUUUGUUUUCUCUCCUUUUUGAAACUGUUCACCUUUUUAAAAAUGUUUAUUAAGAAUUGUAUAAGUUGUCAUGUGCAAGCGUGAGGGUGGAGCUGACGUAAUUUCCGGUGUGCGCUCUCUUUCGCGGGAUUUCAAUGCGAUGAGAGGCACUUCUCGAUCAGACGUAAUCCUGUUACUGCCUGAUGCUGUCUGUUGUGUGUAACACAGGUAUGUAAAUAGAUAAUUUCAGUGUUCGUUCCUAUUCUUAGAUUUUCUUAUUUCUCAUGUUACAAUUGUAUGUUUGAUAUUUUGUUUUAAUGCUCUCUUUCGCGGGAUUUCAAUGCGAUGAGAGGCACUUCUCGAUCAGACGUAAUCCUGUUACUGCCUGAUGCUGUCUGUUGUGUGUAACACAGAGGAGAGAUCCCGAGAGGCCAAAAGUAAACCAUUUGACAACUGCA